UUUAGUGAAAAUAAUCUAAAACAAUCAGAAUCGGAAGCAGAUCUUAAAUAAAAGGAAGAAGAAGAAGAAGAAACAUACUGGAGUUGGCCAUGGAAAUUUUUUUGCCUUCAUUAGGGUCAAGCCAGAUUUUUCUCCUCCUACACUUGAGGACGCUGGCGGCCAGCCACUUCAGUAAUUUCAGUGACACCAUCUCUCUCUCUCUCUCUCUCUCUCUCUCUCUCUCUCUCUCUCUCUCUCUCCUCCUCACACACUCUCUUUCGUUGUUGUAGUUGAAUUCCGGCCCGAUUCAUGCGCCUUCGCCGGCGGGAGCUGUUGCGUCGCCGACCGGAAGCAUGGAUUUUCUGUUUGGUUCCGAGAAGGGAAUGGUAGAAAGAGAGGCAACUAUUUUAUGAGAGAGAGGGCGGCGUAUUUUAUGGCUUAAGGGUAGCGGUAACCAUAAAUAGAUAUUUGGCUAUAAAAAUUAAAAGGUAGUUAUGGAAUAUAAUUUUUUAAAAUGAUAUUUAUUUAAAAUAAAUAAUGUAUCAACCUUUGCUAUAGGAGGUAACUAAUCAUUUUCUUUACUAAUUGCAAGGUUUGUACGUUGUUGUCACACAAAGACAGGAAAAGCACCAAAAGGGACUCCGCCUGAAAAAUGAAGAAGGUUGGGCUAGACUGUUACAAGGUGAGCCUAGCCCAACAAUCGCGAGUCCAGACUUUGCAGAUCAUAAUAUACAUAGAAUGAGAAUUUUUACCUAGAGAUAUUAUACUAG
rnacentral:lncRNA from 1 species